rnacentral:rRNA from 1 species
GCGGAGGAAAAGAAACCAACAGGGAUUGCCUCAGUAAUGGCGAACGAAGCGGCAACAGCCCAAAUUUGAAAUCUGGCGUAAGCCCGAGUUGUAAUUUGGAGGUAGACUAUUUGGAUGACUGUGUCGACUAAGUGCCUUGGAAUAGGCCGCCGUAGAGGGUGAGAGCCCCGUGAGUUGACUAGCAGUUAUUCAGUUUGUCUUCCGACGAGUCGAGUUGUUUGGGAUUGCAGCUCUAAGUGGGUGGUAUAUUCCAUCUAAGGCUAAAUAAUAGCGAGAGACCGAUAGCAAACAAGUACAGUGAUGGAAAGAUGAAAAGAACUUUGAAAAGAGAGUGAAAUAGUACGUGAUAAUUGUUGAAAGGGAAGGGUAUCUGAUCCGACGUGGUAUUUAGAUGUCGCCUGCCCUUGUGGCGGGUGCUCCAUUUUUUUACUGGGCCAGCGUGAGUUAGAAUUGGGGAUGAAAAAGCGGGAACGAAUGUAGCCUUCCUCCCUUUGGGAGAGGGGUGUUAUAACAUUCCUGUUUAGUUCCUUUCUGACUGAGGUCCGCGGUUUUAUUACCUAGGACG